rnacentral:rRNA from 1 species
AUUGAACGCUGGCGGCAGGCCUAACACAUGCAAGUCGAGCGAGCGGCGGACGUGUGGGUAAUGUAUGGGGAUCUGCCCGGUAGAUGGCGAUCACUACUGGACACGGUGGCUAAUACCGCAUACUAUCGGAUGAACCCAUAUGGGAUUAGCUAGGAGGGGGGGUAAAGGCUCACCUAGGCGACGAUCUCUAGCUGGUCUGAGAGGAUGAUCAGCCACACUGGAACUGAGACACGGCCCAGACUCCUACGGGAGGCAGCAGUGGGGAAUAUUGCACAAUGGGCGAAAGCCUGAUGCAGCCAUGCCGCGUGUAUGAAGAAGGCCUUCGGGUUGUAAAGCACUUUCAGCGGGGAGGCGUUACCCGCAGAAGAAGCACCGGCUAACUCCGUGCCAGCAGCCGCGGUAAUUC